AACGAACGCUGGCGGCAUGCCUAACACAUGCAAGUCGAACGAGACCUUCGGGUCUAGUGGCGCACGGGUGCGUAACGCGUGGGAACCUGCCCUUAGGUUCGGAGUAACUCCCCGAAAGGGGUGCUAAUACCGGAUAAUGUCUUCGGACCAAAGAUUUAUCGCCUUUGGAUGGGCCCGCGUUGGAUUAGCUAGUUGGUAGGGUAAAAGCCUACCAAGGCGACGAUCCAUAGCUGGUCUGAGAGGAUGAUCAGCCACACUGGGACUGAGACACGGCCCAGACUCCUACGGGAGGAAGCAGUGGGGAAUAUUGGACAAUGGGCGAAAGCCUGAUCCAGCAAUGCCGCGUGAGUGAUGAAGGCCUUAGGGUUGUAAAGCUCUUUUACCCGGGAUGAUAAUGACAGUACCGGGAGAAUAAGCUCCGGCUAACUCCGUG
rnacentral:rRNA from 1 species